AAUCUUCCGCAAUGGACGCAAGUCUGACGGAGCAACGCCGCGUGAGUGAGGAAGGUUUUCGGAUCGUAAAACUCUGUUGUUAGAGAAGAACAAGUACCGUUUGAACAAGGCGGUACCUUGACGGUAUCUAACGAGAAAGCCCCGGCUAACUACGUGCCAGCAGCCGCGGUAAUACGUAGGGGGCAAGCGUUGUCCGGAAUUAUUGGGCGUAAAGCGCGCGCAGGCGGUCUUUUAAGUCUGAUGUGAAAUCUCGCGGCUCAACCGCGAGCGGUCAUUGGAAACUGGGAGACUUGAGUACAGGAGAGGAAAGUGGAAUUCCACGUGUAGCGGUGAAAUGCGUAGAGAUGCGGAGGAAUACCGAUGGCGAAGGCAGCCCCCUGGGAUAAUACUGACGCUCAUGCACGAAAGCGUGGGGAGCAAAC
rnacentral:rRNA from 1 species